rnacentral:tRNA from 1 species
GCGCUCGUAGCUCAGCUGGAUAGAGUACCUGGCUACGAACCAGAUAGGCAAACGUUCGAAUCCUCUCGGACGCGCCA